CACUGGAGGGCUGGGCCCCAGGGAUGUUCCUGGGAGCGGCUCACAGGCCCCAGCCUGCAGCCUCAGGCCCCUGGGCAGGGGUGUGCGCAUGCUCGUGAUGACGCCUGCGGGAAGAAGGGACCUGGAUUACAUUCAUACAUUCGACAGAUAUUAUGUGCUGGUCCUGCUGUAGGCCCUGAACAGUUGUGAGCAAGGAGUACAUACAGUAGAGUCACACAGACAGAAAUAAAACAGACAACAGACACGUAAAAAGCUUUCUCUAUCAGGAGAGAAGAAAAGGUAAACGAGUAAUUGAAAAUUUGAAAAACAAACAUUAAUGAAACUAACCAGAAAGAUGCCAUAAGAUGGAAUGGGAGUUGUUGGCUUCCACAUUGUGAGAAAAGGAUGGUGAUUGCUCUGAAAACCAGGACAUUUGGCUCAAGAGCCAACAAUUGCUUAAACUAAAAAGAAGAGAAAAGAGAAACAAAGGGACCAUCGGAAGUAGCAGAGUGUAGUAUAAGUACCUGGCAUUAAACUUUUAAUUGCAUCCAACUCAAAUGACAUCCAUCUUGAAUAAACAUAUAGCUAGCUGUAUGAUAAAGCUACUAGCAAAACAACCAUCUAAGGAAUGGGCCUGCCCCCACCCAUGAAGUUCCCUCCUUCAGAAAGCCCUGGGUGACCUACAGAACUGACCACCCAAGUGACCCCACUUCCCCCUUCCUGUGCCCUAAGUCCCACUCUUAUGCUUUAAACUAGCCAAUAGAGAACCCCUGGGUGGCUCAGUCAGUUGAGCAUCAGACUCUUGAUUUUGGCUCAAGUCAUGAUCCCAGGAUGGUGAGACUGAGCACGGCUCAGUGCAGGGCUGGAGCCUGCUUAAGAUUCUCUCUCUCUCUU